CGUAGAAGGGAAGUAAUAAAAUAAUACAAAUAAAACAUGCAAAUUCUUUUGUCAAGGCUCUCUUCCUCCUCCCUCACAGCUUAAAUACACUCCAAGCCUAAGACGUGUCAUUUAGACUCUGUCUUAUCGACAGACAUGUUCUUCACCUGAGGACGGCUGCUUGCGUUGUGGCCAAAACGUCGUGAAAAUUCUUUUACUAUGUUUUAUUUUUAUUAUUUUAUUACUUCCCUUCUACGUGAUGACUUUACCGAAAGAACCAAGAGCUGGGGCUUGUGUCCACGGAUGUCGUGCCUGAGAAGAUUCAGGUUUUCCGCCCCCAGGAUUCCAGCGCCUGGUACCCUUGGAGUUGCCGGUUGCGCCGACAGGUUGUGGAUUGGGGUCGAGUGGAGCAGCCGUCACCCACUUCUCCUCCCGUUGGUCUUCUUCCCUGGAGGGGCCGCACCCGUUAGGCGGUCUUCAACGGCAAGCGAGCUGUGCUGUUACGAACCCCGCCACCCGAGUUAGAUUCCCGCUCACGGCCAACGCCACCGGUGACAGCGAUUAUCUGAACCGGUCCCGUGGGACUCCCUCACGACCGGCGUCACCUCUCGGCCGCCGCCUUUGUCUCUCCCAGCCGCCGACAUUCAUCUUCGCCACGUGAAGAACGAACAGCAGAGACUCAAGUGACCCCCCCCACCGCCACCAUCAACCUCCACACACGUCCAGCGCACAUCCCACGUCGGAGAAUGAGGAGGCUUACCGCAGCCUUCGUUCGGAGAGCCGUGAGGCGCUGCAAGGAUGAUGGGUGGUGGUCGCGGGUUGCUCAGGAGAUGGAGUCUGCCUCUUUAAUCCCAUCAAAAAAGUAACCUGCAGUGCCACACCUAUUACCAUCAUUAGGGGAAAGAACGGUGAUCCAAUCUCUGACCCCCAGGGACAGGUUUGCAGAUUUGCUGAGCAUUUCUGUGAGGUCCUAGGGGAGGGGAAAUCCCUCAGCCAGGAAAACAACGUGGGACAAAGUGGGGAUGGCCCUGCUGAGGCUGCGGUGCCUCAAGCAUUGGAGGAGGGAGUCAUCCCCUGCGAGUGGCUGGCUGAGGUGCCAUCUGUUGAGGAAGUACUGAGGGCGAUCCAGAGUCUGAGACCAGGAAAGGCACCGGGCAGAGAUGAUCUCCCAAGCGAAAUGCUGAGGGAGGGUGGCGUUUGUGCACAGACUGCCCUACACGACAUCAUAACAACAGUCUGGACCACUGGACGGGUUCCGCAGGAUUGGAAG